rnacentral:rRNA from 1 species
CCUACGGGUGGCAGCAGUGAGGAAUAUUGGUCAAUGGGCGCGAGUCUGAACCAGCCAAGUCGCGUGAGGGAGGACGGCCCUACGGGUUGUAAACCUCUUUUGCCGGGGAGCAACGGGCCCCACGUGUGGCGUCACUGAGAGUACCCGGAGAAAAAGCAUCGGCUAACUCCGUGCCAGCAGCCGCGGUAAUACGGAGGUUUCAAGCGUUAUCCGGAUUUAUUGGGUUUAAAGGGUCCGUAGGCGGUCGGAUAAGUUAGAGGUUAAAUCCCGAGGCUCAACUUCCGAAUUGCCGCUGAUACUGUUCGGCUAGAGAGUAGUUGCGGUAGGCGGAAUGUAUGGUGUAGCGGUGAAAUGCUUAGAGAUCAUACAGAACACCGAUUGCGAAGGCAGCUUACCAAGCUACGUCUGACGUUGAGGCACGAAAGCGUGGGGAGCAAACAGGAUUAGAUACCCCUGUAGUC